AAUUCGAUGCAAAGCGAAGAACCUUAACAGGGCUUGACAUGCCGUGAAUCCUCUUGAAAGAGAGGGGUGCCUUCGGGAACGCAGACACAGGUGGUGCAUGGUUGUCAUAAGGUGUUGCGUUAAGUCCCACAAUGAGCGCAACCCUUGUGUUUAGUUGUGGGUAGAGCUAGAUCUACAUGUUGGCUAGGUAAGCAUCCUAUAGUAAGAUGAGUAGUUAUGAACGUUGUAGACCAUCCCCAUGGGGGUGGUGAA
rnacentral:ncRNA from 1 species